UACGGAGGGUACAAGCGUUGUUCGGAAUUAUUGGGCGUAAAGCGCGCGUAGGCGGGUUCGUAAGUCGAUUGUGAAAGCCCUGGGCUUAACCUGGGAUGUGCAGUCGAAACUGUGAAUCUUGAGUGCCUGAGAGGAUGGCGGAAUUCCCGGUGUAGAAGUGAAAUUCGUAGAUAUCGGGAAGAACACCUGAGGCGAAGGCGGCUAUCUGGCGGUGCACUGACGCUGAGGCGCGAAAGCGUGGGGAGCAAACAGG
rnacentral:rRNA from 1 species